CACUCCUACGGGAGGCAGCAGUGGGGAAUUUUGGACAAUGGGCGAAAGCCUGAUCCAGCACUGCCGCGUGAGUGAAGAAGGCCUUCGGGUUGUAAAGCUCUUUUGUCAGGGAAGAAACGGUGAAAGCUAAUAUCUUUUGCUAAUGACGGUACCUGAAGAAUAAGCACCGGCUAACUACGUGCCAGCAGCCGCGGUAAUACGUAGGGUGCAAGCGUUAAUCGGAAUUACUGGGCGUAAAGCGUGCGCAGGCGGUUUUGUAAGUCUGAUGUGAAAUCCCCGGGCUCAACCUGGGAAUUGCAUUGGAGACUGCAAGGCUAGAAUCUGGCAGAGGGGGGUAGAAUUCCACGUGUAGCAGUGAAAUGCGUAGAUAUGUGGAGGAACACCGAUGGCGAAGGCAGCCCCCUGGGUCAAGAUUGACGCUCAUGCACGAAAGCGUGGGGAGCAAACAGGAUUAGAAACCCCGGUAGUCCCAUG
rnacentral:rRNA from 1 species